CACUGCUGACAACUUUACAAGUUGAGAUGCAGAAUUGCUUUUCAACGCAAAAUCGGAAAUGGUACUUCUUAUUUAUGUAGAAAAGUUGCAGCUUCUACAAAAAAAAAUAUAGCCAAGUGCUAGGGGAUUUCUUCUUGAGAAACAUCUCUCACGAGGCAACUUUUGUUUUCUUAGGAAGUACAAAAGUGCCCAAUUAUCAAGAGGAGAUCAGAUACAACGGCAUCACACCUAAUUACUUGGAUCUUUAGACACUACAAAACGAUAGAACAAGCAAAACAGUUCAUGUGAUUACUAAACCACGUGUAUAAAUUCAUCUGCUAUGCAUAACCGAUUUUUUUUUACUUUUAUAUAAAAAUCAAUAGGUAAUUAAUCAUUUCACCAAAAAUGUCUGUAAACUCAAAGGUUAUUCCAAUUGUUUCUAUUUUGUCAAGUCACAUCACUUAUGUAUGAUGACCAUUGGAAGGACCCGUAAGCUCGUAUAUAAAUGUCGGCUCCUUUGUUGCGAGGAAAAUAUAAAUGUCGGCUCUACUACAAAGUGGGUGCAAAUGCUUAGAGCUCUCUUAACUUGUAGUGUUUGGACAUUUUUUUUGUUUCCUUUUAUCUCUUAAGUGUAGCAAAGUAUAAGAAAAUAAAAACUUAAGAAGGAACAUGUGAAACAUUCUUCCUUCAUAUAUCCAAAUCCUGUUGAGAUGGGAAGUUCAUAUAUUUUGAGAAAACAUGAUAAAUGGUUUCAUGACGUUGUUUAGUUGUGUGAAAAGAAGAUAUCAAGGUCAAUUUACAUGUAAGAAAAGAUCAUGUGAAGGGGGUGUAUGGCAUGGUUAUGGACCUGAGAAUAUGUAGUCUGUGUGAGCAUGCACGUAUCAACUAUGGAUGACUAAAGAGCUAGAAAAACAAGAGGACAAGCCACCAAUAGUGCUUCCAAUAGAAGAGAUUAAGGAGAAGCCACCUCGGCUAAAACUAUGUGUGUGUGGCGUGCAUGUGCUUUAGUAACAUGGAACUUACAGAGUCUUCAUAUGGUCACACCUACCCUUACCACCAACUAGAAUUCAACUCCAUUAAUCCGUUCCAACUUAGAUAUCUGGAACAUCUCAAAAGUUGUGAGCUUGCUUCUAUACUUCCAUUAUUGUUUUUCAGGAUUGCGCAUGUGUGCCGAGUGGGAGAAACUUGCAUGAUAAGUACACCAACUAAAAAUCGAGAAAAUGUGUGAAGAAGGUCGAGGUAGAAUAGUGCACAAUUGUUCAAUGUAGUAGUCAAAAGGAUUCAACAAGGAUAAAUGAUAAGAGUUUCAUCAUUAGAAAGCAUAAGGAUACCUAGGAUUGCAUUCCGAAAAAGCAUAGAGCCGCUAUGCACAGAAAUAAGUAUUGAUUGCUAGAGCUCUCUCUUGACCUUCUCAUGACUAAUGCAAGGUGAUUGUCUCUCUUGGCGACCUAGCUUAGAACUAAUAGUAGUUGAAAAUCUACAUGACAUGAUGUUGUAUUGCGUAGUUCAGAUAGUGCAACUCGUGACCAUGAAACCGGCUAGCAUGUAUAACCCAUAUAAACCCAAACCCAUUUUCAUGACAUGCUUGUACUCUUAUUUAAAAUCCCUCCUGUCAUCUGUCGUACCUAGGGCCAGUCCUAAUAUACUACUAGAGGCCUGAGGCAAAAGAAGAAUAAGACAUCCCUAUUUGAAAAGAAAUGCUCAUAAAUUUAAGAAAGAAGUGACAAAUUUUCAAAAGUUUUACAAUUUGAAAAAUUUCAUGAAUUUAGAAAAAGUUCAAGAAUAUGAUUUUUUUCUACAUAACUUGAAAUUAGUUCAACAAUUUUAAAAAGCUGACGAA
rnacentral:lncRNA from 1 species